CCUACGGGUGGCAGCAGUGGGGAAUAUUGGGCAAUGGGCGCAAGCCUGACCCAGCAACGCCGCGUGAAGGAAGAAGGCUUUCGGGUUGUAAACUUCUUUUAAGCGGGAAGAGCAGAAGACGGUACCUCUUGAAUAAGCUCCGGCUAACUACGUGCCAGCCGCCGCGGUAAUACGUAGGGAGCGAGCGUUGUCCGGAUUUCCUGGGUGUAAAGGGCGUGCAGCCGGGAGUACAAGGCAGAUGUGAAAUCCCGCGGCUCAACCGCGGAACUGCAGUUGAAACUGUAUUUCUUGAGUACGUGAGAGGCAGACGGAAUGCGUGGUGUAGCGGUGAAAUGCAUAGAGAUUAGGAAGAACACCGGUGGCGAAGGCAGUAUGCUGGACAGCAACUGACGGUGAUGCGCGAAAGCGUGGGGAGCGAACAGGAUUAGAUACCCGAGUAGUC
rnacentral:rRNA from 1 species